rnacentral:rRNA from 1 species
UACGAAGGGGGCUAGCGUUGCUCGGAAUCACUGGGCGUAAAGCGCACGUAGGCGGAUCUUUAAGUCGGGGGUGAAAUCCCGGGGCUCAACCCCGGAACUGCCUUCGAUACUGAGGAUCUUGAGUCCGGGAGAGGUGAGUGGAACUGCGAGUGUAGAGGUGAAAUUCGUAGAUAUUCGCAAGAACACCAGUGGCGAAGGCGGCUCACUGGCCCGGUACUGACGCUGAGGUGCGAAAGCGUGGGGAGCGAACAGG